rnacentral:rRNA from 1 species
UACGUAGGGGGCAAGCGUUAUCCGGAUUUAUUGGGUUUAAAGGGAGCGUAGGCGGGUUGUUAAGUCAGUUGUGAAAGUUUGCGGCUCAACCGUAAAAUUGCAGUUGAUACUGGCAUCCUUGAGUACAGUAGAGGUAGGCGGAAUUCGUGGUGUAGCGGUGAAAUGCUUAGAUAUCACGAAGAACCCCGAUUGCGAAGGCAGCCUGCCGCAGCGUUACUGACGCUGAAGCUCGAAAGCGCGGGUAUCGAACAGG